UGGCAAGUAGCACAGUGGUAGUGCUCCCGGCUGUUAACCGGGCGGUCGCGGGUUCGAAUCCUGCCUUGCCAGCCA
rnacentral:tRNA from 1 species